AGUGAACGCUGGCGGUAGGCCUAACACAUGCAAGUCGAACGGCAGCACAGUAAGAGCUUGCUCUUACGGGUGGCGAGUGGCGGACGGGUGGGGAAUACAUCGGAAUCUACUUUUUCGUGGGGGAUAACGUAGGGAAACUUACGCUAAUACCGCAUACGACUUACGGGUGAAAGCAGGGGAUCUUCGGACCUUGCGCGAUUGAAUGAGCCGAUGUCGGAUUAGCUAGUUGGCGGGGUAAAGGCCCACCAAGGCGACGAUCCGUAGCUGGUCUGAGAGGAUGAUCAGCCACACUGGAACUGGUACACGGUCCAGACUCCUACGGGAGGCAGCAGUGGGGAAUAUUGGACAAUGGGGGCAAGCCGGAUCCAGCCAUACCGCGUGGGUGAAGAAGGCCUUCGGGUUGUAAAGCCCUUUUGUUGGGAAAAAAAAGCAGCAGGUUAAUACCCCGCUGUUCUGACGGUACCCAAAGAAUAAGCACCGGCUAACUUCGCG
rnacentral:rRNA from 1 species